UACGGAGGGGGCGAGCGUUAUUCGGAAUUAUUGGGCGUAAAGGGCGCGUAGGCGGCUUGACAAGUCAAAAGGUGAAAUCCCUCGGCUCAACUGAGGAACUGCCUUUGAAACUGUCUGGCUUGAGGCCGGGAGGGGGUAGCGGAAUUCCCAGUGUAGCGGUGAAAUGCGUAGAUACUGGGAGGAACACCAGUGGCGAAGGCGGCUACCUGGACCGGUUCUGACGCUGAGGCGCGAAAGCGUGGGUAGCAAACAGG
rnacentral:rRNA from 1 species